rnacentral:rRNA from 1 species
GUGACAGCAGCCGCGGUAAUACGGAGGGUGCAAGCGUUGUUCGGAAUUAUUGGGCGUAAAGGGCGCGUAGGCGGUAAUGCAAGUCAGAUGUGAAAUACUCCGGCUCAACUGGGGAACUGCAUCUGAAACUGCAUAACUAGAGUACAGAAGAGGGAAACGGAAUUCCCGGUGUAGAGGUGAAAUUCGUAGAUAUCGGGAGGAACACCAGUGGCGAAGGCGGUUUCCUGGUCUGAUACUGACGCUGAGGCGCGAAAGUGUGGGGAGCAAACAGGAUUAGAUACCCUCGUAGUCC